rnacentral:piRNA from 1 species
UACCUCAUAUGCGUCUGAGUUGAACAAUC